rnacentral:rRNA from 1 species
AGGCAAUAGAUACCCGGGUAGUCCCAGCAGUAAACGGUGCGCGUUUGGUGUGAGCAGAUUCGACUCUGUUCGCGCCGGAGCUAACGCGUUAAACGCGCCGCCUGGGAAGUACGAUCGCAAGAUUAAAACUCAAAGAAAUUGACGGGGGCCGCACAAGCGGUGGAGUAUGUGGCUUAAUUCGAUGCAACGCGAAGAACCUUACCUGGGUUUGACAUGCAUCUCUAAGGAGGUGAAAGCUUCCGAGGGUAGCAAUACCCGAUUUGCACAGGUGCUGCAUGGCUGUCGUCAGCUCGUGUCGUGAGAUGUUGGGUUUAAGUCCCGCAACGAGCGCAACCCUUGUAUGCUGUUGCUAUGCUUACGCAUAGCUCUCUGCGUAGACUGCCCCGUGAAACGGGGAGGAAGGUGGGGAUGACGUCAAGUCAGCAUGGCCCUUACACCCAGGGGCUGCACACGUACUACAAUGCUCAGUACAAUUAGAACCUGCCCCGCGAGGGUUGGGAAAUCAGCGAAAACUGAG